CUGAUGCAGCAACGCCGCGUGAGUGAUGAAGGCCUUCGGGUCGUAAAACUCUGUCCUCAAGGAAGAUAAUGACGGUACUUGAGGAGGAAGCCCCGGCUAACUACGUGCCAGCAGCCGCGGUAAUACGGAGGGGGCUAGCGUUAUCCGGAUUUACUGGGCGUAAAGGGUGCGUAGGCGGUCUUUCAAGUCAGGAGUGAAAGGCUACGGCUCAACCGUAGUAAGCUCUUGAAACUGGGAGACUUGAGUGCAGGAGAGGAGAGUGGAAUUCCUAGUGUA
rnacentral:rRNA from 1 species